rnacentral:rRNA from 1 species
UACGUAGGUGGCAAGCGUUGUCCGGAAUUACUGGGCGUAAAGGGCGUGUAGGCGGCCAUUUAAGUCAGGCGUGAAAUCCAUGGGCUUAACCCAUGAAUUGCGUUUGAAACUGGGUGGCUUGAGGAUCGGAGAGGGCAGUGGAAUUCCCAGUGUAGCGGUGAAAUGCGUAGAUAUUGGGAGGAACACCAGUGGCGAAGGCGACUGCCUGGACGACACCUGACGCUGAGGCGCGAAAGCUAGGGGAG